GUAUCAAAACAAAGGAGUGAUAGAGGGUGCAAUUGUCUGAAUUACAGAGCUGGAUUGCUGAAACUUAUGAAAAACGAGGAUGGAGAG
rnacentral:sRNA from 1 species